rnacentral:rRNA from 1 species
GAUGAACGCUAGCUACAGGCUUAACACAUGCAAGUCGAGGGGCAGCAGGGAUUUAGCUUGCUAAAUUCGCUGGCGACCGGCGCACGGGUGCGUAACGCGUAUCCAACUUUCCCGUUACUCUCGGAUAGCCUUCCGAAAGGGAGAUUAAUACGAGAUGGUGUUCUAAUUCCGCAUGUUAUUAGAACUAAAGAUUUAUCGGUAACGGAUAGGGAUGCGUGACAUUAGAUAGUUGGCGGGGUAACGGCCCACCAAGUCCACGAUGUCUAGGGGUUCUGAGAGGAAGGUCCCCCACACUGGAACUGAGACACGGUCCAGACUCCUACGGGAGGCAGCAGUGAGGAAUAUUGGUCAAUGGUCGGAAGACUGAACCAGCCAAGUAGCGUGAAGGAUGAAGGUUCUAUGGAUUGUAAACUUCUUUUAUACGGGAAUAAAACCUCCCACGUGUGGGAGCUUGUAUGUACCGUAUGAAUAAGCAUCGGCUAACUACGUG